UACGUGAGGGGCAAGCGUUGUCCGGAUUUAUUGGGCGUAAGCGCUCGCAGGUGGUCCGCUGCGUCGUGCGUGAAAGACCCCGGCUCAACUGGGGGAUGUCGUGCGAUACGGGCGGACUGGAGGCCAGUAGGGGGAUGCGGAAUUCCGGGGUGAGUGGUGGAAUGCGUAGAGAAUCCGGAGGAACACCAGCGGCGAAGGCGGCAUCCUGGA
rnacentral:rRNA from 1 species